UACGUAGGGUGCGAGCGUUAAUCGGAAUUACUGGGCGUAAAGCGUGCGCAGGCGGUUCGUUGUGUCGGCGGUGAAAGCCCCGGGCUUAACCUGGGAAUGGCCGUUGAAACUGGCGAACUGGAGUGUGGCAGAGGGGGGUGGAAUUCCGCGUGUAGCAGUGAAAUGCGUAGAGAUGCGGAGGAACACCGAUGGCGAAGGCAACCCCCUGGGCUGACACUGACGCUCAGGCACGAAAGCGUGGGGAGCAAACAGG
rnacentral:rRNA from 1 species